rnacentral:rRNA from 1 species
AGAGUUUGAUCCUGGCUCAGGACGAACGCUGGCGGCGUGCCUAAUACAUGCAAGUCGAGCGGAACCAUUGGAGCUUGCUCCAUUUGGUUCAGCGGCGGACGGGUGAGUAACACGUGGGCAACCUGCCCUGCAGAUCGGGAUAACUCCGGGAAACCGGUGCUAAUACCGAAUAGUUUGCGGCCUCUCCUGAGGCUGCACGGAAAGACGGUUUCGGCUGUCACUGCAGGAUGGGCCCGCGGCGCAUUAGCUAGUUGGUGGGGUAAUGGCCUACCAAGGCGACGAUGCGUAGCCGACCUGAGAGGGUGAUCGGCCACACUGGGACUGAGACACGGCCCAGACUCCUACGGGAGGCAGCAGUAGGGAAUCUUCCGCAAUGGACGAAAGUCUGACGGAGCAACGCCGCGUGAGUGACGAAGGUUUUCGGAUCGUAAAACUCUGUUGUGAGGGAAGAACACGUGCCAAUUAACUACUGGCAUUUUGACGGUACCUCACCAGAAAGCCACGGCUAACUACGUGCCAGCAGCCGCGGUAAUACGUAGGUGGCAAGCGUUGUCCGGAAUUAUUGGGCGUAAAGCGCGCGCAGGCGGUCCUUUAAGUCUGAUGUUGAAAGCCCACGGCUCAACCGUGGAGGGUCAUUGGAAACUGGAGGACUUGUGUGCAGAAGAGGAAAGUGGAAUUCCAUGUGUAGCGGUGAAAUGCGUAGAGAUGUGGAGGAACACCAGUGGCGAAGGCGACUUUCUGUCUGUAACUGACGCUGAGGCGCGAAAGCGUGGGGAGCGAACAGGAUUAGAUACCCUGGUAGUCCACGCCGUAAACGAUGAGUGCUAAGUGUUAGGGGGUUUCCGCCCCUUAGUGCUGCAGCUAACGCAUUAAGCACUCCGCCUGGGGAGUACGGCCGCAAGGCUGAAACUCAAAGGAAUAGACGGGGGCCCGCACAAGCGGUGGAGCAUGUGGUUUAAUUCGAAGCAACGCGAAGAACCUUACCAGGUCUUGACAUCCCGCUGCCCGGUGUAGAGAUACGCCUUUCCCUUCGGGGACAGCGGUGACAGGUGGUGCAUGGUUGUCGUCAGCUCGUGUCGUGAGAUGUUGGGUUAAGUCCCGCAACGAGCGCAACCCUUGAUCUUAGUUGCCAGCAUUCAGUUGGGCACUCUAAGGUGACUGCCGGUGACAAACCGGAGGAAGGUGGGGAUGACGUCAAAUCAUCAUGCCCCUUAUGACCUGGGCUACACACGUGCUACAAUGGACGGUACAAAGGGCUGCCAACCCGCGAGGGGGAGCCGAUCCCAGAAAACCGUCCUCAGUUCGGAUUGCAGGCUGCAACUCGCCUGCAUGAAGCCGGAAUCGCUAGUAAUCGUGGAUCAGCAUGCCACGGUGAAUACGUUCCCGGGCCUUGUACACACCGCCCGUCACACCACGAGAGUUUGUAACACCCGAAGUCGGUGAGGUAACCACUUGUGGAGCCAGCCGCCGAAGGUGGGACGGAUGAUUGGGGUGAAGUCGUAACAAGGUAACCGUA